AUGAACGCUGGCGGCGUGCCUAAUACAUGCAAGUCGAGCGAACAGACGAGGAGCUUGCUCCUCUGACGUUAGCGGCGGACGGGUGAGUAACACGUGGAUAACCUACCUAUAAGACUGGGAUAACUUCGGGAAACCGGAGCUAAUACCGGAUAAUAUAUUGAACCGCAUGGUUCAAUAGUGAAAGACGGUUUUGCUGUCACUUAUAGAUGGAUCCGCGCCGCAUUAGCUAGUUGGUAAGGUAACGGCUUACCAAGGCAACGAUGCGUAGCCGACCUGAGAGGGUGAUCGGCCACACUGGAACUGAGACACGGUCCAGACUCCUACGGGAGGCAGCAGUAGGGAAUCUUGCGCAAUGGGCGAAAGCCUGACGGAGCAACGCCGCGUGAGUGAUGAGGGUCUUCGGAUCGUAAAACUCUGUUAUUAGGGAAGAACAAAUGUGUAAGUAACUAUGCACGUCUUGACGGUACCUAAUCAGAAAGCCACGGCUAACUACGUG
rnacentral:rRNA from 1 species